AAAAUCCGUCGAUUUUCAAAAUCGUGAGG
rnacentral:tRNA from 12 species